GGCCCACCUCCCUCCUUCCCUUCUCCUCCUCGGCCGGGCUGCCCCUGUCCCCCGGGAUGGAGGGGAAGUCCCCCGCUUCGCCCCGCACCGAGGGCUAGGGGAGCCCAGAAAGCAGGGAAGCUGGACCCUCCUGACCCGUCACAGCCAGCCCACUGAAGACCCCCAGCCUCUGCCCAUCCAGAGUCGCUGCAGGGACCAAGGGGAGCUGAAUCCCCAGCUGGGAGGAGGUCAAGAACCGGCUAAGGCCUCGCCUUGGUUUAUUUUCCAUCUCAAGAGCCACAACCCCACCCUCCCUCCUGGGACAAGCCAGCUCAUUCUUUACCACCACACUGCAGCAGCCACAAGUGUGUGUUAAUCCCCUCAGGCUAUCCAAAUCUAAGGUGAAAUUCAGAUGCUUGUCACUUCCUUGCAUUGCUUGAGCCUCCAAACACUGCAACAGAAAGUGCCUUCCCUGAAUCCCCCUCCCUGCACCCUCUACAUCGAGCACAGGUUUUCAGCACAGAAGCAGCUGCUGUGUUUCAGCCGCAGGCUCCGGCUCAGUAUCUCCUAUCCAGACCGAGUUCAGCCGUGGUCACCUGAGUCUAACGGCUCCGCUGAAACAGGAGGAGGCAGGAGGUGGUGCCGAGACCCAGUGAAGCCAGGAGGGACCCAAAAUAGCUCCCAUAAAGAGGAACUGUCAAGCCGCAGGCAACGUAAAGCCCUGCCCAGCCUUUCUGCGCGUUUGCGGAGGGUUUGCUUAGUGGGGACAGUGACAGCGCUGAUAGCUCCGAGUUCUUGGAAACGCGCUUGGCUCACCCGCGGACUUCACAGAAACUUUGGCCGGCUGCAAACAAGCCCAGGGUGUUUAUGGCUGGAGGUCUUUGUGGCGUGGGGUGACCCUCAUGCCAGCUGAGCCUCGGAGCUGGGCAGCUCCUCUCUUCACUCUUCCCAAAAGGGAAGCGGGCAGCGAGGGCAGCUUGCAGUAUAAGCAUCUCUCCACCCAACAAGCACACGGCAGCCAGCAGCCCCCAGCCUGGGGCAGACCCUCGGCGCCCUCACAGCUGGACUGGGACGGGGGAGACUCGGCGGCAGUGCCGUACCCGUGCCCUCGUCCUGCACAACAUGUUUACAAGCCCCCGGCGGAGCUCUGCGCCCUCUCCCGGGAAGCCAGCCUGGGAAGCAGAGCUGAAGGCACAGCUUGUUUACAGCCUGCCUUCCCCCCCCCGCCUCCUCCUCCUCCC